UUCAAGAUCAACCAGGCAGACACCACAGUGAGUUUUCCAUCAAAAAACCUUCUCUAUCUGGUCAGUCUCUGCAGGUCAAUGAGACAAAGGUGUGUGCUGCACGCAGCAGGACUAUCCUAAGCUCCCUGUGUUCUCACCACAGGGCUGGGUGGCUGGGGUGGAGGAACACAGGAUUGGGCUUCAGCUUCUCUAGGAACUGGUACAUUAAGAGAUGAAGACAUAAAAGGUGAGAAAAUCAUGGUUUAUUUCCAAUGUUUCCAUUUCUGUUAAAAGUAAUGCUUUCAACAGAAAAAAAAAACGCAGCAAUGUGUGUAAUUUACAAAAUAAUUUCAGGAUUUCUUUAAUCAUUAAUUUGUGGUGUGAUCUGUUAACUGGAUUUAUGUCUAAGCUCAUUUGUAAAUAACUUCAAAUAUCCGAGCCUUCCCUCACCCUCUUCCCACCUCACCUCUCCUCCUUCUCCUCCCCUACACUGGAGAACACUAUGUACAUGCAUAUAAUGGCCUGCCCUAGAGGAGUUCUGAGCCUACUGGGGAAGAAAACACCAACUCACAGGAAAACAGCAGAAAUCACACAAAACAGAAUAAAAGCAAGCGCUGAUCUGUAAGUGAAGACUUAAGUGCUAUAGGACUUCCAGCUACAAAUCCUGAAAACAGGGAGUGGCUGUGAUAAUACGACUAGCCAACAUCACACAGUAAUUUUGCACAUAAGGAGAACUAAAUCAAAGAAAACAAGGAAAAGAAAGUUGAGCCUAUAAUCGUGAUACAGGCACUAAAAUCUCAGGUGACAUUUUUCAAUGGGGGAAAGUCAGUCAACUUCCGAUCUCCAAACCAUCUUUACUAGCGAGCUUCCCACAGUGGUUCUAGAACCUUCCUUCAUUCCAACCCAACCAGGACUCCAAAAGACUCAUAGACAGCACAGCCCUUGAGAAAUUAAAGGGAGAACCCACCAACCGGCGCCCCACUCUCCACCUCAAGUCACCUCUGGCUCAACCAAGAUGUGCUCAGGCCAAGAAAGCUGCCCCACCCCACAGGCUUUGCCUGUCAUUUUUAACAAGCCGACUCAGCACAUCUCUCCGAUGGACCAUGCAAGGCUUUUCGCGGCUCUUGGGGCUUUGCCUCUUCAUGAGCAGACACUCCCUCUUAGACUAAGACCUGGAGCUGGAAAACAGAUCCCAACCUGGAAGAGUGACGGAUGGUAUUUCAGAUACAAGUGA
rnacentral:lncRNA from 1 species